rnacentral:tRNA from 1 species
GGUCGUUUAGCUCAGUCGGUCAGAGCAUCGUGCUAAUAACGCGAGGGUCGCAGGUUCGAGCCCUGCAUCGACCA